rnacentral:rRNA from 1 species
UUUGACUGUGCAAAGGUAGCAUAAUCAUUAGUCUUUUAAUUAAAGGCUGGAAUGAAUGGUUGGACGAGGUAAAUUACUAUCUUAUAAGUAAUUUUUAUUGAAUUUAGGAGUUGAGUGAAAACACUCAAAUUUUAUUAAGGGACGAGAAGACCCUAUAGAGUUUAAUAUGUUAAGUGUUGAUUGAGUUAUAAAUUUAAUUUUUGGUUAAUAUGAUAUAUAUUUAGUUGGGGUGACUGAAAGAUAAGAAGAACUCUUUUUGUUUAUGAAUAAUAUAAUUAGAUAGGGGAUCCAUAUAUAAUGAUUAUAAGAUUAAAUUACCUUAGGGAUAACAGCAUAAUUCUUUUUAAGAGUUCUUAUCGAAAGAAGAGAUUGUGACCUCGAUGUUGGAUUAAGAUAAAUUUUGGGUGUAGAUGUUUAAUAAUUAGGUCUGUUCGACCUUUAAAUUCUUACA